UGCGGUGGCUAUAGCGGCGGGGACCUACCUCUCCCCAUUCCGAACAGAGAAGUCAAGCCCGCUUGCGCCGAUGGUACUGCCCCACCAGGUGGGAGAGUAGGCAGCUGCCGCUU
rnacentral:rRNA from 1 species